UUCAGCAUUCAACAUCCUGUUUUUCUGGGUUUUGUGACUAGCUGCCUCACCACAAUGAAGACAUUUGAUGCAAAUGAUUUGUAUCAGGGGCAGAAUUUUAACAAGGUCCUCAGUUCCUUAGUGACUCUAAACAAAGUAACAGCAGACAUCGGCCUGGGAAGUGACUCCGUGUGUGCCCGGCCCUCCUCUCAUCGGAUAAAGUCCUUUGACUCCCUGGGAGCCCAGCCUUCGCACAGUCGGACUUCAAAACUGUUCCAGGGCCAGUAUCGGAGUUUGGACAUGACCGACGCGAGCAGCAGCCAGCUGGUGGUGAGGGCGAAGUUUAACUUCCAGCAGACCAAUGAGGACGAGCUCUCCUUCACGAAAGGCGACGUCAUCCACGUCACGCGGGUCGAGGAGGGCGGCUGGUGGGAGGGCACGCACAACGGCAGGACCGGCUGGUUUCCCAGCAACUACGUGCGGGAGAUCAAGCCCAGCGAAAAGCCCGUGUCUCCUAAAUCAGGGACGUUGAAGAGCCCUCCCAAAGGAUUCGAUACUACUGCCAUUAACAAGAGCUACUACAACGUGGUGCUACAGAAUAUUUUGGAAACAGAAAAUGAAUAUUCUAAAGAACUUCAGACUGUGCUUUCCACCUACCUGCGGCCUCUGCAGACCAGCGAGAAGUUAAGUUCAGCAAACAUUUCAUAUUUGAUGGGCAAUCUAGAAGAGAUAUGUUCUUUCCAGCAAAUGCUCGUACAGUCUUUAGAAGAGUGCACCAAGCUGCCAGAAGCCCAGCAGAGAGUCGGAGGCUGCUUUUUAAAUCUGAUGCCGCAGAUGAAAGCCUUGUACCUCGCGUACUGUGCCAACCACCCGUCCGCAGUGAGCGUCCUCACGGAGCACAGCGAGCAGCUGGGAGAGUUCAUGGAGACCAGAGGCGCCAGCAGCCCCGGCAUCCUGGUGCUGACCACCGGCCUCAGCAGACCGUUCAUGCGCCUGGACAAGUACCCCACGCUGCUCAAGGAGCUGGAGAGACACAUGGAGGAUUAUCAUCCAGAUAGACAAGAUAUUCAAAAAUCCAUGACUGCCUUCAAAAACCUCUCAGCCCAGUGUCAGGAGGUGCGGAAGAGGAAGGAGCUGGAGCUGCAGAUCCUGACGGAAGCCAUCCGGAGCUGGGAGGGGGACGCCAUCACGACCCUGGGCAGCGUGCUGUACAUGUCCCAGGUCAUGGUCCAGUGUGCCGGGAGUGAGGAAAAGAACGAGAGGUACCUGCUGCUCUUCCCGAACAGUUUGCUGAUGCUGUCCGCCAGCCCCAGGAUGAGUGGCUUCAUCUACCAGGGAAAGCUACCAACGACAGGAAUGACAAUCACAAAGCUUGAGGACAGUGAAAAUCAUAGAAAUGCAUUUGAGAUAUCAGGGAGCAUGAUCGAGCGCAUCUUGGUGUCGUGCAGCAGCCAGCAGGACCUGCACGAGUGGGUGGACCACCUGCAGAAGCAGACGAAGGUCGCCUCUGUCGGCAACCCCACCAUCAAGCCCCACUCCGUGCCAUCGCACACUCUCCCCUCUCAUUCCAUCGCCCCGUCCGGCAAGCACGCCGACAGCAAGCCUGUGCCCCUGACGCCCGCCUACCACACGCUGCCGCACCCCUCCCAUCACGGCACUCCGCACACCACCAUCAACUGGGGGCCGCUGGAGCCUCCGAAGACCCCCAAGCCGUGGAGCCUGAGCUGCCUGCGCCCCGCCCCGCCCCUGCGGCCUUCGGCUGCUCUCUGCUACAAGGAGGAUCUUAGUAAGAGUCCGAAGACCAUGAAGAAGCUGCUCCCGAAGCGCAAGCCUGAGCGGAAGCCUUCGGACGAGGAGUUCGCCCUGAGAAAGAGCACAGCAGCUUUGGAAGAAGACGCGCAGAUCCUGAAAGUCAUCGAGGCCUACUGCACCAGCGCAAAGACGCGGCAGACGCUCAAUUCGACAUGGCAAGGCACUGACCUGAUGCAUAAUCACGUCUUGGCCGACGACGACCAAUCAAGUCUAGACUCCUUGGGUCGUCGCAGUAGCCUUUCCCGUGUGGAGCCCUCAGACCUCUCGGAAGACUCUGACUAUGACAGUGUAUGGACAGCCCAUAGUUACAGGAUGGGUUCUGCAUCUCGUAAGAGCUGUUGCUCCUAUAUCUCCCACCAGAACUAACGCGCCUCUGAGCUUUAACCAAUGCGUGUUGUAUCGCAGCCUGCUUUCCUUAGAUGUUUUCUUGCUGUUCCUUGUCUUUUAUGUGAUAUCUUAACAACUUUUGAGAGCGUUUCUGAUACUUCCCAUUGUAUUUUGUGGAGGCCCAAUUGCCAAUUUGACCCUCCAUUCGAGUCGCUGCUGUUGAAAGAGACGGUGUGCCCACGCGGCCCGGGCCCGCGGCUCCUCCUCCGCGGCCAGGGGCGCUGUCACAGCUCUGAGUGGUCUGGGUGUUUAUUCUCAGUGUAGCGACGGUCUCAUUUCUUCUUGGACACAGCUGUAUGGACCCUUUUAUAUUUUAUACUGAAACCACACAGGUUUGUGACCAAUGAACGACACAGGAGGUUCUGGCCGCACGUGGGACCCACGGACAGAGUAGUCGUGGGGACGGGAGGCGGCGGCGUGUAGGCAGAGGACCGGGUUCGGUGCAGACCCUGUGCUCUGGGAGUCCUCAGGCACUCGGUGGCCACGGAGAGCCAGGUGGCGGGUGGGGUCGGCAGGGGCUCUGCCCGUCCGUGCACCACACAUGGCUGUCCUGUGUCCCCGUUUGCCCGUGGGCGGGGGGUCGUCCAAGGGCCAGGUGCUGUCCGAGCUCAGACCCUCCCCUGCGUCAUGACGCCACCCUCCCCUUACCCGGAGCCCCUCCCCGCGGAAGAUUCAGUGCAAACUCUGAUGCGCGCAGCCUCUGAAGGUGUAAUGGGACUCCGUUCAGAGCGGUACUGGCCGCGCCCCGCAAGCUAGUAGCUGCCGUGCAACUCUGUUUACAGCAGCCCGUCCUGCGUGGCCUCCUUGUGUGGCUGGUGGCCGCCUGCGUCCCCCGGACACCUGAGCUGCCGUGUAACUGGCUUAGAAGACCCUGGGUCCGGAGGGGCUCCCGCACCUGCCUGGGAUUUGUUGUCAGGGGGUCUCACUGCCUCCCGCAGAUGAACUUCUGCUCCAGGAAGAACUGCAUGUGACGCGUCGCAUUCAGUUGGGGCGCCUGGAUCCACAUGUGGUCGCUGCCGCGGUGGAGAAGCGUCCGCGCACGCGUGCUUUGCUCACUGCGCAGUAUUCAGACCGGCUCCAGAAAGCCCAGCGCCGGGACAGGCGGGGCACGGCCGGGCGUGCUCUCGGGGCGGCCGUGGCUUCUCCCGUCCCCCUCCCCCGCCACCGCGUGCACUGCCGGCCCUCGCUCGCACCACACCCCUGCCGGCAGCCACCGGGCGCCGUCGCUCUCCACCCGGAGGGGCUGGUGGCCCCGCAGUGGCCUGGUGCUGAGGGCGUCAGCUUGACCGCGUGCGGGGAGGCCGUGAGGAGGCCCUGGGGUUCCAAGCACGUCGGUUUCCGCGUAGCUGCUGAGCUGUUCACGCCAUCUGGAGAGUUCCUAUUUUUAUAUCAAUUAGUUUCAAUUAGUAUAAGAAAGUGGAGGAGCAAUCUUAAGAUCAGAGCCCAGUAUUAGCCCACAGUAGAAAUGGGGUUUAUAUAUGGUCAGCCAAAUAGCAGAGGGAAAUGGGGAGAGACGGAACCAUGAAGUUCAUGAGCGAACUUAGAAGCAGCGGUUUUAUUUUGUGUCCGUACAGCAGUCCCCUUUCUGGUCAUCGUGUUAGAGCGUCCUUUAGUUGGCUCUGAGGCUGUCAUUGGUGUGGUGGCCUGGGCGCCUCUGCCGGGCCUGAGUGGCCGCGGGCCGCCCGAGUCGCGGGCUGCGCCCAGCACGGCGGGGAUGCCGUUAGUUGUUGCACUUGGGUUUUCCAUAUUGCCAAGUAUCCCUGGGGUCCUCCUCCUGAGCUGUCCCCUUUUGCCGGGGUUUAGCCCUCCCCCAUCCAUCCUCGGCUCUCCUAAAGCCACAUGGGUGGGGGUCCCGCUGCCACCGGGGUCAUGCGGGACCACAGCCUGACCUGCGGUUGGUUGUUCGGGCUCGUUGUGUCUGCACCAUUAGCUCCCAUGACCUGGUUGGAAGUGUCAGUGCCACGGGCUGGAGGCGGCCCCCGGGUGCAGUGGUGACGUGGCCCCGGGACUGGGGGGGGGGGUGGUGGCUGGGACUUGCCCCUGAGGAGCUCCUGUGGUGCGGAGAGACUGUCUCGUUUGUGCGGCUCUGUCCUGGCCGUGUGCACAGCCGGUGCUGUAGCGAGAGGGUGAAGACCCUGAACCCACAGGUAGGUGCGGGCUGUCCUGGGCCCUGGGCGGGGCCUCCGCAGUGUUGCCAUUGACUUUACACUUGCCACAGUAUAUAAGCUAUAUUAACUAUGUGUUUUGCGUAAGGUUGCCAAAACACAGUCAUGUGUAAAUAGUGGUAUAAGACCUUGAAAAAAAUCUAUAUAUUGUGCUUUUUUCUCUGUGAACGGGAAAGCCAUUUCUAGUGGGUGACUGCCAUUUGAAGACCCCAUUGGAUGUGAACCUGAUGUUGCAUUGUAUUGUAUGGUAUGCAUAUUACUGUUUGUGGUUGCCUACGGCAAUGACGUGUGUUUUAUAAUCUGGAAAAAGACAUCUGUUCUGUACAGUUGAAAUAAAUUUUGCAUUUGCUA